UGAGGGGAGGACGGAUGAAGCUGAGCAAAAAAAAGAAAAAUUCACCAGUGGCAAUUGCAUCAUUUUAAAAGGACAGAAUGAAUAUGAAACAUGGUGGUUCAUCAUGGCGACCUCCACAGAAGGCGACCCGCGGCGUCUGUGGAUAUAAAAGGCUCAUUCUAAGGUAACAAGAACAUAACGAUUCUUAUUGUCAGGUGACAUCCCCUAAUGAAAACAGAGCGAGCGAAGCCUGCGAGCUUGUUCAGGCUCGUCAACUCCAGCUGCGCUGAUAUUCACACAUGACAUGCCUCACUCCAAACUGGCGGUCUAUUUAAACUGCACAAUUUCCCAGCUCUCCCUCUGCUCUGUCAAUGCCGCUGUUGCCCUGCAUCCGUAUUGCUGCUGCUGCUGCUCUGUAAGCUAUUGCUGCCUGCUGCGCUGUAAGCCCCACCACCACCCCAGCAUCCACCUGUAGGCUCCGACUGAGGGUUAAGGUAUUUGCGCAUCACUCCCCCAAUAUCUCUAUGUAAACAUAUGAGGUCGGAGCCUAGACGCCAAAAUCUAAAUAUGCUAUACUGCUUUAAUAAACAUUUCAAACGUGA